AUUGAACGCUGGCGGCAGGCCUAACACAUGCAAGUCGAACGAGUGGCGGACGGGUGAGUAAUGUCUGGGCAACUGCCUGAUGGAGGGGGAUAACUACUGGAAACGGUCGCUAAUACCGCAUACCAUCGGAUGUGCCCCGAUGGGAUUAGCUUGUUGGUGGGGUAACGGCGCACCAAGGCGACGAUCCCUAGCUGGUCUGAGAGGAUGACAAGCCACACGGGAACGGAGACACGGUCCAGACUCCUACGGGAGGCAGCAGUGGGGAAUAUUGCACAAUGGGCGGAAGCCUGAUGCAGCCAGGCCGCGUGUAUGAAGAAGGCCUUCGGGGUGUAAAGUACUUUCAGCGGGGAGGCGUUACCCGCAGAAGAAGCACCGGCUAACGCCGUGCCAGCAGCCGCGGUAAUUC
rnacentral:rRNA from 1 species